CUGCUUUUGUACCGGAAUAAACCUUGAUUCGUGAAUCAAGCUGAAUGUACGGUAAGAAUAAGGAUCGGCUAACUCCGUGCCAGCAGCCGCGGUAAUACGGAGGAUCCAAGCGUUAUCCGGAUUUAUUGGGUUUAAAGGGUGCGUAGGCGGCCAGUUAAGUCAGGGGUGAAAGACGGUAGCUCAACUAUCGCAGUGCCUUUGAUACUGACUGGCUUGAAUGUACUUGAGGUAGGCGGAAUGUGACAAGUAGCGGUGAAAUGCAUAGAUAUGUCACAGAACACCAAUUGCGAAGGCAGCUUACUAAAGUAUGAUUGACGCUGAGGCACGAAAGCGUGGGGAUCAAACAGGAUUAGAUACCCUGGUAGUCCACGCCCU
rnacentral:rRNA from 1 species